ACCUUGUGCUAUUUCCAGAAUCCUCUCUUGACAAUUCCCUCCACUCAUUAGAGUUAGCAAAAUGUGGCGAAACAUUCUCUUCAUACUACUAGUCCUCAAAGGAGUGCAGUCUCAAGGACAGUUGGUGGAAUCUGGAGGGGAUGUGAGAAGACCUGGAGAGUCCCUCCGUCUCUCCUGCCAAGGUUCUGGGUACAACUUUGGUGGCUACAGCAUGAGCUGGGUGAGACAGGCUCCAGGGAAAGGACUGGAAUGGGUUGCACGCAUCUAUUAUGAUUCCAGUGGAAAGUUCUACUCAGACAAAGUGAAGGGAUGCUUCACGGUCUCCAGAGACAAUGCCAAAAGCCAGCUGUAUCUGCAGAUGAACACACUCAAAGCAGAGGACACAGCAGUCUAUUAUUGUGCGAGAGACACACUGAGAGGAAGUGAAUCUGAAGCCAGACAAGAACCUUCCUUUCUUCAGAGCAGCUCUUCAACUUGA